AAAAGAAAAGAAAAGAAAAGAAGAAAGAGAUAAACCUAAGAUUAAGCUGACCAAUCAUGACAUUUGUUAUAAGCCAUCUUUAGGUCCUCCAGCUGCACUUUGGAUUUUUCUAGAAGCUCUUGCCCCAAUCACAAAACCAAAACUUCAUUUUCAGAUUCCAUUUGAUUGCUUAUAAAUGGAGAUAUUGACUGAUUAAGAUUGCAAUAACACCCCUUUUAUUUCAUCUAACUUUCUGUUUCCUUCUAAUUGGUUACAAAAGCUGCUGCUUUUUUUUUUUUUAAAUUGAUUUCGGCUGAAAUUGGAAUUUGAAACUUUACCGCAGCUUUAUUUUUUUAUCCCACUUAUUGAGAUCGCCAGUACCUGGCCAUUUCAAACCCAUUUUUGCAAUAGUGGUAGUCCUCAAUUGUUUGCUCAAUUUCAGCUUGUGUGUUCAUCACAAAAGGUCCAUGCUGAACCACUGGUUCAUUGAUCGGUUGCCCAGCGAUUAGUACGAAUCUCAAUGGCUUGGAAGACCUAUUCCAUACGCUUAAACCAUCUCCAGUACCCAAAACCAGAACAUGGUGAGCAGUUGCUUGGGAAGAAUUUCUCAAGCCAAAGGCUCCCUCACCUUCAAUGACAUAAACAAAUGCAUUCCACGAUUCUGGAACGGUUUGGUGGACUUGAGCUCUUGGCUUCAGAGUGAAAUCCAGAAACAUU
rnacentral:misc_RNA from 1 species